rnacentral:rRNA from 1 species
UGGGGAAUAUUGCACAAUGGGCGCAAGCCUGAUGCAGCCAUGCCGCGUGUGUGAAGAAGGCCUUCGGGUUGUAAAGCACUUUCAGCGGGGAGGAAGGCGAUAAGGUUAAUAACCUUGUCGAUUGACGUUACCCGCAGAAGAAGCACCGGCUAACUCCGUGCCAGCAGCCGCGGUAAUACGGAGGGUGCAAGCGUUAAUCGGAAUUACUGGGCGUAAAGCGCACGCAGGCGGUUGAUUGAGUCAGAUGUGAAAUCCCCGGGCUUAACCCGGGAAUUGCAUCUGAUACUGGUCAGCUAGAGUCUUGUAGAGGGGGGUAGAAUUCCAGGUGUAGCGGUGAAAUGCGUAGAGAUCUGGAGGAAUACCGGUGGCGAAGGCGGCCCCCUGGACGAAGACUGACGCUCAGGUGCGAAAGCGUGGGGAGCAAACAGG